CGUCGCCUCUUAUAGGGCCCGAUGGCCCGACUACCCCAGCCCGGUGAACCCCACUUCCCACCCUCGAUCCCCACUCCCACAUCCCACGGCCGCCACGGCCCUCGCCGCCGGCGCGUGUCCCACCACCACCAUCUCCCACGGGCGCCAAGUUCCCUGCUGCAGGCGCGCGCGCCACCGCCACCCCCUCCCACAGGAGCAAUGGUUCCUGCCGCCGGCGCACGCGCCACCGCCACCGCCACCACCUCCCGCAGGCGCCAUGGUCCCUGCCGCCGGCGCGGCGCCACCGUCACCACCUCCCACAGCCGUCGCGGACCCCGCCGCCGGUGCGCGCCCCGCCAUCUCCACCUCCCACAGCCUCCAUGGCCCCGUCGUCGGGGCGCGCCCCGCCACAACCACCGCCGUUGGACGCCGUCGCCGUGCCCCAGUGCCUCCGAGACCUCGUCCGACAUGACCGUUGCAUCCCUGAACUGCCAAGCGCCGCCCACCGCCCGGCUUCUUCCCCUGACCAUCGCCGGCCUCCUGCCCCGGGCAAACCCCUUCUCUUCCUUCCGGGCGCAACCGCGAUCUCCUUCUCAGUUCAAAACGAGCUCUAGCCGAUGUCCAAGUCGAUUCCCAUUCGUGGGACAAGUCCGACUACCUGUGGUACACGACCUAGAGAUUGACCGGAGCGAGCAAUUCCUCAAGUCCGGCCAGUGGCUGCAGCUCACCAUCAACUCCGCCGGCCACUCGCUGUAGGUGUUCGUCAACGGCCAAUCCUUCGGUGCGGAACCUCCCUAGCGCAACGACAGCCUCCUCCGUCCAAGUUGAACUCUGGGCGCCGUCCGAGUAGAGCACUGCGCCUCGUCCAAGUUCCCAUCUAAUGAAUUGAGGCUUCGCCAAGGAACAAGACUGGUAACUAGCGCAAAGGAGACUAUGUCGAGAGGUGGCACUGCUAGACUUGCUGAUGUGUAGUUAUGGCAUAAAAAGGAUGAAAAAAAUGGUGUCUUGUAUGAUUCCAUAAGAUGUACGUAGCAAAUCUUCCCAUGUGGAUCAGUACAACUUAUGUACGGCCUUGAGUUCACAAAUCUUAUAGUAAUCUUUGUAGUACUCUUCGUAACACUUUGUAAAGCAAGAGUAGCCCUUUUUUGUGAGCAACAAUUCAAAGGAAUCUGUUGUAUCAGUUCU